rnacentral:lncRNA from 1 species
AAAAUAUCUACUAAGGACUAAAUAUAAAACCCAAUCUAACCAAAAAUAAAAGGUUACUCUACUCAACCCACCCCACCUCACCCCACCCAGUCCAUUAGGCCCGAUUACAAACAAAAAAAGAAAAAAAAAGAAAAAUCAAUCACCAUCUCUCCUUCUUUUCUCACUCAAUCCACUGAAAUCCUAAACGAAGAGCCCUUCGCUCUCCUCCUCCUCCGCCAGCAUAGCCAACCAAGUAGAGUUCCGGUGGUUGCUAAAUACUUAAAUAAGUGUUGGUAAAUUAGCAGCACUCUGUUUAAGUUAUAUCGACACUCUUAAACUGUCACUAUAUACCUAGCGACCCCACAUAUAGCAACACUUUUUAAAACUGUUGGUAAUUUAGCUAGCAGCACUUUUUU